rnacentral:rRNA from 1 species
UACGUAGGGUGCUAGCGUUGUCCGGAAUUAUUGGGCGUAAAGAGCUCGUAGGCGGUCUGUCGCGUCGGUCGUGAAAACUUGGGGCUUAACCCUGAGCUUGCGGUCGAUACGGGCAUGACUGGAGUUCGGUAGGGGAGACUGGAAUUCCUGGUGUAGCGGUGAAAUGCGCAGAUAUCAGGAGGAACACCCGUGGCGAAGGCGGCUCUCUGGGACGGUACUGACGCUGAGACGCGAAAGCGUGGGGAGCGAACAGG